GCCCAGUGGCUCAGUUGGUUGGAGUAUAGUCUCAUACUCCUAAAAUGUCUUGGGUUCGAUUCCCAGACAGGGCA